rnacentral:misc_RNA from 1 species
GUAGGUGAACCUGCGGAAGGAUCAUUAUUGAAAUAAACCUGAUGGGUUGUUGCUGGCUCUCUAGGGAGCAUGUGCACGCCUUGUCAUCUUUAUAUCUCCACCUGUGCACUUUUUGUAGACCUUUUUUUAAAAAAAAGGUCUAUGUUGCUUCAUUUUACCUCAAUUGUAUGUCAAUAGAAUGUUGUGCCCAUAUAAUAUAUACAACUUUCAGCAACGGAUCUCUUGGCUCUC